AUUGAACGCUGGCGGCAGGCCUAACACAUGCAAGUCGAGCGGAGCGGCGGACGGGUGAGUAAUGCCUAGGAAUAUGCCUGGUGGUGGGGGAUAACGUCCGGAAACGGGCGCUAAUACCGCAUACUAAAAGAUGGGCAUAGGUUGGAUUAGCUAGGUGGUGGGGUAAAGGACUACCAAGGCGACGAUCCGUAACUGGUCUGCGAGGAGGAUCAGUUACACUGGAACUGAGACACGGUCCAGACUCCUACGGGAGGCAGCAGUGGGGAAUAUUGGACAAUGGGCGAAAGCCUGAUCCAGCCAUGCCGCGUGUGUGAAGAAGGUCUUCGGAUUGUAAAGCACUUUAAGUUGGGAGGCGUUACCAACAGAAUAAGCACCGGCUAACUUCGUGCCAGCCGCCGCGGUAAUAC
rnacentral:rRNA from 1 species